rnacentral:rRNA from 1 species
GAUGAACGCUAGCUACAGGCUUAACACAUGCAAGUCGAGGGGAAACGAUAGAGAAAGCUUGCUUUUUCUAGGCGUCGACCGGCGCACGGGUGAGUAACGCGUAUCCAACCUGCCCACCACUUGGGGAUAACCUUGCGAAAGUAAGACUAAUACCCAAUGACGUCUCUAGAAGACAUCUGAAAAGGGGAUUUAAAGAUUUAUCGGUGAUGGAUGGGGAUGCGUCUGAUUAGCUUGUUGGCGGGGUAACGGCCCACCAAGGCUACGAUCAGUAGGGGUUCUGAGAGGAAGGUCCCCCACAUUGGGAACUGAGACACGGUCCAAACUCCUACGGGAGGCAGCAGUGAGGAAUAUUGGUCAAUGGGCGAGAGCCCUGAACCAGCCAAGUAGCGUGCAGGAUGACGGCCCUAUGGGUUGUAAACUGCUUUUAUAAGGGAAUAAAGUGAGUCCUCGUGAAGGCUUUUUUGCAUGUACCUUAUGGAAUAAGGACCC